GUGAGGAAUCUUGCGCAAUGGGCGAAAGCCUGACGCAGCGACGCCGCGUGGAGGAUGAAGGCCUUCGGGUUGUAAACUUCUGUUAAGUGGGAAGAAAAGCCUGUCCUAAAUAGGGACAGGAAAUGACGGUACCAUUAGAGAAAGCACUGGCUAAUCUCGUGCCAGCAGCCGCGGUAAUACGAGAGGUGCAAGCGUUAUUCGGAAUCAUUGGGCGUAAAGGGUGCGUAGACGGUGUGUUAUGUCUGUUGUUAAAUUUUCCGGCCUAACCGGAAAUCUGCGGUGGAAACUGGCGCACUAGAGGGUGGAAGAGAGAAGUGGAAUUCUCGGAGUAGCGGUAAAAUGCGUGGAUCUCGAGAGGAACACCAAUGGCGAAAGCAGCUUCUUGGUCCAUACCUGACGUUGAUGCACGAAAGCGUGGGGAGCAAACAGGAUUAGAUACCCGUGUAGUCC
rnacentral:rRNA from 1 species